UGGUGAUCACAGCGGAGGGGUCCCACCCGUUCCCAUCCCGAACACGGAAGUUAAGCCCUCCUGCGCCGACGAUACUUGCCGGGCAACUGGUCGGGAAAAUAGGUCGCUGCCG
rnacentral:rRNA from 1 species